rnacentral:rRNA from 1 species
UACGGAGGGUGCAAGCAUUAAUCGGGAUUACUGGGCGUAAAGGGCGCGUAGGCGGUUAUUUAAGUUGGAUGUGAAAUCCCUGGGCUUAACCUAGGAACUGCAUUCAAUACUGGAUAACUGGAGUGCAGUAGAGGGUAGUGGAAUUUCCGGUGUAGCGGUGAAAUGCGUAGAUAUCGGAAGGAACACCAGUGGCGAAGGCGGCUACCUGGACUGACACUGACGCUGAGGCGCGAAAGCAUGGGGAGCAAACAGG